UAUGCCGCCCCACCGGAGAGCCCAAUAUAUCCAGCGCGUCGCCAUUGGUCGGCCAGACCACCGUAGCGGUGACGUAACAAAGGUUAUAAGUACGACGUCACAUGGGCAAGGGACGUCAGUUGAGCGCUUGGAACUGGCUUGGGUAUGUCGCAGCAGCGCUCCUCUUCACGGUUUACGUUUCUUGUGCGUUUUCUGUCAACGGACUGCUUCAAAGACAAUUCACGGUGGCAGGAAGGCUGAUCGACGGCGAGGAAGUGCCGCGUGCUUUGGGAUCGAACCACUACGUUGAAGGGUGACUACAUCACGAACGAGGGCCGCCGCAUCUGCGAGUUUGUCGUCUGCCGAAGCAGCGAAGGACGAGGAUUGAGAUCGGCCCGGCCUACUCUUCAAGUCACACCAAGGUGCGGGGAGAGAGAGAGAGAGUUCGAGCCGUGGGGGCCCGAGCUGUGGUGCUGGCGGACCCCAGGUUCCCUCCAACCCCCCCUCCUCCCAGAGGCAGCACAACGACGGCCUGCUGAGCCUCCUCCUCAUUCUCUACUCUCCGUGGGGUCGGAGGCAGCUCGAACAACCACGCGAUGGUCGCAUUCCAUCCUGCCACGCAUGGCCUGCCACCAGAAAAAAAGAAAGGGAAGGGUGCACACACCACUCUGAGGGGCAGCAGCAACUGCAGCGCCGGCCGAACAACGCGCCAAGCGAGGCGGUGGGCAUUUUUGGGGGCAAGGGUGUCGGUAAUAUGCCUCCUCGGACGCGAAAAGAGACAGAGAGAGAAUAGCCCUAACUUCACCAAGUAGCUAGUUCUCGAGUGAAAUCCAAGCAAGAUAGAGGUUCACAGUAGGAUGGAGACGCGACAGUGGUCGGACAAAGGACCUAUCUCUGGAGCCAUAGUUUUGACAAAGGGACCAACGUUUCGCGGGACAUCAGCUCCAGCGACAUUCUUUGUUCCACCACCGUUUAUUAUUUUCCGGGAUUUCCGUUAUACUACAAUAUCGCGCACGCCCUACUCGGGCAGCACCUAACCAUGGGUUCACGCUACUCGCGUAGCCGGCGUCAGUUGGAAAACUCGAGAGUAAAUUCAAAAGCGCGUUGUCGUGGUCAUCGCUGUAAAAAAAAAAAUGCAUCGAGAAGGUACUGGAAGAAACCAGGUAACUUCAGAUACAUAUGUAUAUGUAGAGAUGAACUUUAUUAGACAGGAGAUAGAUUUUGAGGUCGGAUGGUCGCGGAGUCCCUCAGUCCAAGGCUCCACUGACACCUGCCGCUUGCCUGCCGUGGCUAAUUAAGGAUUUUUGUCUUGCCAGGUCGGAGAGUAAGAUUCCGGCCGUGUAAGAUGUUCAGUGUUUGUGCACUGGCGUAGAGUGACGAGUUUUCACGCCAUGUGAGCCACUUAAGGAUUAUAUAGUUUACAGUAAACUGCUAUCGUCACUUGACGGCUGGGUCGGGCCAGUUAACGUGACACUUGCGCUGUAUGCACGUUUCGAAGUUGCGUCGGCAUAUAGAGCGAGACGAGAACUGUGUUGAAGCUGAUCACGACACUGUUGCCGGCUCAGUGCGGAUCGCUGCUUCUACGUCGCUGAAAAAAGUUCGUGCGACGUACGACGAUGUAUCGUGCGGCCUCGCGAGCGACGUCGGUGUACGGUUGUUAACGCGGCAAGAGAACGUCGAAACCGUUGUGUGGGCGCUCGUUACGUUCGCUUUGUCAGCAGAAAGAGCUUUCCCAUACCACACCCAACUGCUUCUUUUGUAUGAUAUGACAGAUAUGUAUGAUAGUUCUUUAAGUACGGGAAACAAUAACAGAAAAAAUAUAUGAGAGAGAGAGUCCUAAAAAGUUUACAUUAUCCUGUAUCGUGCAUUGGGAUCAGCCUUGCAGCUGUAAACGGGCUAUUCCGACACAGCGCGGAAUCCCGAGCCCGGGACGCCACCUCCAACUUCUUAAGAUGUAGAAAACCCUGCGCUUAUUGCGACUCUGCCGCUUUGCUCAAUCAGACCCAAUAGCUGUCUGUACGACUUAAGUAGAGUCGUGACGAACCCCUAUGCCGUGCUCCGUUCAUAUAUAGUGGCACGUAUUUUUGCUGCGUGACUGAACGCCCGACGGUGGUUCGAUGAAAACAAACAAAAAAUCGCGAGCCGUAACUGCCACGGUGUUAUAAGAAUACACCUAGGCGAAGGCCCAUUAUGACCGCGUCUGAAUGCGGCACAGGUAGUAUAUAUUUGUGCCAGCCAUUCAAGUUGAUGUGAUACAUAUAUACGAUUUCUGAACAGUAUACGCGAAACUCGUUUCCAACCUAUUCUUCACUCGGCGUUUGCACAUUCUGUUUUGACGGCGAGAAAUAUGUAGCUGCGGUGUUGUCGGGCCUUAUAUCCGCGUACCCCAUGGCAUAUGUAAACUGGAGAUCAGCGGAAAGAAAAAAAGAAGGAAAGUUAUCGAUAACGGCAGCUUGACAAAGUCACAGCCCCCCCCCCCCCCCCCUAGAUGUAGCAGCUGCCAGGCCACACGGUAUGUCUACAAAUACCAGAUGUGCAAACAAAAUUUAUUAUUGCAAAUCAACGCGCUGAAAACGGUCGCGAAGGAAAUUCUCGUCGAAAAACAACAUUCCGUAGGCGCGAGCAGAUGGUACGACAAUGUUUCCUUACCUCUCCUCCUUUUCAUCUUUGUUUUGAAAAACAGUGCAGAGAAUAUUUGCUGUAAAAGUAAUAUACACUCAAAAGGACGGUAACAUAAUCAAAGCGCUUUCAUUCAUUCAAUAUGAAUAAAAGCCAGCACGUAUAGGUUCUGAAAGGACCGAGUAGCCCGUGUACGGUGUUACAUCAGUGGCGCUUCAAACCUCGCGAAGAUCGCAUAUGCAACAAGAGUCCCGCCGGAUAUGUAGUGUGUAAGUCAUAUGUAUAUGCGCUGUAAGGUGCAUUCCCACAAAGCACAUUUCGGUCUCGGAUUACAUCGCCAUCAUGCGGCGUAUGGACGCGUUGAUGCCAACCAGCUGACGGCAGCCACGCCGGCAAAGAAAUCCGUCACAAAUUUGUUCUAGCUUUAGAAAUCGUAGGAAAUUAACGCCACGCGUAGCGCGUUUAUCGUAGGAGCCCAAAUCAGUUCCCCCUCGUCGCGUGGUUUCCUCUUUAUGAAUGCCGUAUACAUCACCAAUGACAUUUAGCGUGAACACCUAAUUAGUAUCCGUGCCCUGAUUACGGGUCACAUUAGGAGUCAAUUAACUAGCGCUAUGUAAAAGAGGUGUCUGCAUACUGCGUCCGUGUGGCAAAAAGUUUCCCGCACAGAAAAACAGCGUUAAAACGUGGGAUUAUCCUUUCUCGAAUGCUGAUCAGCUGUUCCCGCUGAGCCGUGAUCGGCAGGGUACAAAGAAACACCGCGGCCACCGUUUUCUUCACGGGAACCCCGCGCCUAUUCCACCUGCGCGCGGAGCGUGGCAGAGCAGUAGAUUAAUUUGCAGCGAUCUGAUAGAGAGGAUGCGCGGGACUCAACUGCGCCAUUACGCCGAGUAAUUUACCGAGUAAGGAACAGCAGCGCCCCCUUCCACCCAGCCGUAAAGCUUUCUCGUUGAGGAAAAUACUCCGUAGACGGUCCCGCGGCAGUUUUACUACCCUGACCUCCCAUAGCCUCGAAAAUGCAUCGCUUAAGCGCGCUAGACGAGGCCUCAAUGACACUAGCUCUCAUCCCCGUCCCCCCCACAACUUUCGUAACGGUGACUCCCAGUCGUCGUUUCGUUGAGACAAUGGCUUCUAUACAAACGGCUGCGCGUUCGCCGGAAAGCGAGCAGGGAAAAACAAAAAGGAAAGCUAAUGCCCCUGUCGCGUAUAUGUAUGUAUACAUAAUGGCGCGCUACAGCUCUGUACAGCUCUGCGGUUCCGGAUGAGGCAGUCUAGGAGUGAAGCGAGCAACCUUUUGUCGUACACUGCGGGAGAUGGGAGGGGAAGCUGCUGGUUGUGUUGAGGAAAACACGGAACGAAGAAGAAGAAUAGACGAGAACAACAGCAUUUGACAACAGACGGCUUCGGCCGUUUGAGGGCCUAGUCGGUCGGCGGUCACUUUACUGCGCAACUCGUUCGCUCGCUUCGCGCCGAUGAUGGCGUACCACACAAGAUGGAGGCCAGCUGUAGUAUACUAUAUACCUCUGUCGGGCGCGGGCGUCGCAAUUUCGCAACGCGGUUCUGGGGGCGCGAUAAGUUUUUUCGCAACUUGUGCGUAGGAAGGUAACUCAUGCGCCACGCUUUUGGUGGCUGACGCGGGGGGGGAGGGGGGGCGGAGAGGGAGUGGGUAACCCGACUCCUCCCCGCAUACGUUCGUUUCGAGAAGAGGCGUAGUAGGUGUGAUUAGGGCUGCCAUUGUUCGCGCUACGUGUGAUUUUCCGUCGCGUUUCAUUUGAAAAAGAGAGCGGAGAAAGAAAGCCAGAAUUGGAACAGUGGGGUCGGUAGCCAAAAUAAUUAAGAAAAGGCUGGGUCUGCGGUUUCAGUAGCGUUGAUAUUCAGGAAUGCGUGAAAGAUUGGUUCUGCUAGCGCGGAGGGGAUGGGUGGUUGUGUGAGGGGAACUUCUUGGGCGAGGAAAUUGUAAUUUGAUUUCUCGCUUCGGGAAAAAAUGAGUUUCUUUAUAGCAGCAAAGGGGCGCCAGAGAAGAUCGAUGGACAUUUCUACCAGUUUCAUUUCUUUAUUUUGUUUUGCGUUACACAGCUCCCACGUCCGGCUAUGACCCGAUUUCAAACCGCUUCAGUGAAACUACCCGCAAAAGAAAUGUCGAACGCUAAUCCUGGAGACACUAUACAGGAACACUGGCUCAUUUUCCGUUUUGACUUUCACGUGUAAGCACUCACCAUUAAUGUUUUCAUGCUGAAUGCGUCGAGCGGCCUUAACAUUAACCUCCCGAAGUUUCAAGUGUACUUUUAUUACCAUCUUUUUUGAAACUAGCGACUGCCAUUUUUCGGGGCAUGACUUAGCAGGCCACGAGGAAAACACGUGCACGGAUACGACACUAAACUUCGCGAGCGUCGGCCGAUGCGUUUGACGUCACGGCACGGGCUGCUCGUCGUUCGAGUCGUGGAGUGUGCGUUUUUGAAACACCGUGGAAACAAGCGAAGAACAGUCACAGUCUGGUUACACAGCGGCUCUAAGUUCAAAUACAUCCAAAACCUACUACAAAUCGAGAAAGCUUCUCCAGCGCUGAGGCGAGACUUGGAGAUGACGUCACGCUUCGGUCGCGGGUUUUUCGAAAUCACUUCUGCGGCUCGCUUUUGCGGCCGGCUUCCUUCGAUCGCCUGAGCUCUAUUUGGAUCGAUUAUUGGUUAAAGCAUCCCGUGAUUAUUGAGCGUCAGGGGUGCGAGGAAGUGUAGGAGAUAUUAGCGGGCAAUUUCUUUUUGUGUUGUCCGGCGCCACGGGAAAUGUACAAACAGGGGAGAAAAGUGUAAGGUUUAAGGGUGGUGUGUUCGUACGGCACGCGGUGGUAUACUUUGCCAAGGCAAAACGGUGCGUAAACAUGUCAUGAAGCGUGAAGUGCAUAGACUGGUUGAGGAGGCACUAGAAACUGUCCUCAAAACUUAUCUAGCACGAGCUGCAGUCAUCCCUAUAUAGUGGGCCAGGGAGCCCCAGCUUUCUUUAUAUAGUUAAUGGACCGCUUCUUGCAUUUCGUCGCUGGUGAGCCGUUCCCGCCCAUUAAAAUUCAGCCAGCAGAAAACGUUAAUGCGCCUUCGAAUGGAAAUCGUCCUUCGUGUUGGCCUGAAAAUGGAGCUCUUGCGUUCUCUCAGUCUUUCGGUUUUGUUAAGCGAGAGCCUCGCGCUGCGUCGCGAAUUCAAAUAUAGGCCGAGGGCACGCUAAGCAGAGAGAAAGAGAGAGAGAUAAAAUGUUGUGGCGCGUUUAGGCAAGCUAACACCAGCUGCUUCUAUUACGGAACCGAAGGGGAGAGAGGAAAGAAAAAAAAAAAAGGUCAUGCGGAUGUCGCAGGCCUGUGCGAGUUGGUUCAUAUUGGUUUGUUCCGAUUUUGCGAAGCCGUCUGCGCUGCGCUUUCCGCACCAAGCGUUAACGUGCUUAGUGAUCGUUGUCAGAGAAAGGCGACAGAUUGACGGGAAAUUCACGGCAGUGCGCCUUUGGCGGGCCACCGUGGCGCCUCUCUAUUUAUUGAGCGCGAGCGCCGUUAUAUGCUAGACUUGCGCUACUCUCACCUCGUGCUUUAAGCUCAGAAAGUCGUAAUGCUAAAUUUUCGAUGCGUCGCUGUGCUGUUAGAAGUAACGUCGCGCCUUUUUUGUAUAGCGGGCAAACUUUUUUUUUUCUUUCGUUUUGAAAACUAAACAGCAGCAGCUCAACAGUAUAAUGCGAGGUAUAUGGCUGAAUAGGCAGCGGGAAGUUUCUGUUAGGUGGCCGAGCCAUGUCGAAGAGCGUCGGCCGAACUUGUAUGAUUAGGGUGAUGAAAUAAACAGCGCUUUUGAACGGUGCAUAGAGCAGACGGCACACACGAACAACACUGUACACGAACGCUGAUCUUGUUUGUCGUCUGCUCUAUGUCCUGUUUCAAAAGCGCCGUGUCGUCACCCGUGCACGCACCGAUUGGCCCAAAUAAACGCACUCUGCUUAUAUA